UACAGAGGGGGCAAGCGUUGUUCGGAAUUACUGGGCGUAAAGGGCGCGUAGGCGGCCUAUUAAGUCAGACGUGAAAUCCCUCGGCUCAACCGGGGAACUGCGUCUGAUACUGGUGGGCUUGAGUUCGGGAGAGGAAUGUGGAAUUCCAGGUGUAGCGGUGAAAUGCGUAGAUAUCUGGAGGAACACCGGUGGCGAAGGCGGCAUUCUGGACCGACACUGACGCUGAGGCGCGAAAGCCAGGGGAGCAAACAGG
rnacentral:rRNA from 1 species